rnacentral:lncRNA from 1 species
AUAUAUAUAUAUAUGUGUGUGUGUGUGUGUGCGUGUGUGUAUGUAUCUAUACUGGGGGUAAGGGACAGGGGGGGGGGAACGUGGGUACGGAGUUGGUUAGAGGGCAAAAACAAGAAAAUGAAGGUUCUGGGAAAUACUAGCUGGAGAGGAGCAGGAGUGAGGUAAAAGGUACGCGCCAAACUAGCACGGUGUCUAUAAUUUGACGACGCGGCUGGCGGCUCCAUUGACCCAAUAUUAUUAUUUCCUGUGGGAACUGGGAAGAAAGGAAGCCAUGAUGGUGGGGCGGGGAAGAGUGGUGGGACGGUAUGAUUGGUAGGACGUGGACGUUAGUUGAAGAAUCGACCACUUCAUUGUUCUAGAAGUCAAAUUAGUCAGCCAAAUGAUAAUACCCCCUCCAACGCCAAAUUUGCCUCGUUAGUUAGUGCAAAGAAAACUAGAAAAGAAAGGUCUUUCUCUGCGACACCACACGGAGAAGAGAAAAGGAAAAGGAAAACAAAAAUAAAGCAGGGGAAAAUGGUCUUGGUACCUAAUUUUCAGUUUUUUGUAACAUCUACCACAUGGCAUAUGCUUGCUUGUUGCUUUCCAGAUGUUAGAUUAUUGGUACGAGUUUUGCAGCAGUCACAGUUAGGCAUCGUCGUUUAGAUCUUUGAGGCUAAGCAAACUUUUCAAAAAUUUUCAGACUUCUUUAAGUCAAGAAAGUUUAGUCCUAUCUACUUGGUGGCUGUUGCCUCUUCUUCUUCUUCUUCUUCUUCGGGUGUUAAAAAUACGAGGGGAACUAGAGAACGGGGCUUCUGUGUCAUAUCGCAAAUGGAAAGCGCCAUCUGAGAACGGGCUGGGAUUCGGGAAUACAGAGCCAUGUGACAGAUGGGGCACCCUGGCGGUUGCCAGUCUCUGCAAGAACCUUGGGCCAGUUUUUAUGUUCACAGUUUCUGGAUUGACUACAAAACUACUAUACAGAUGAUGGGCCGGGGAAGACUUCUAGUGUUGGGCCGAUGAAUAACACAAAUGAGACCCAGCUGAUACAAGGAAGCCACCAAAUUCUGUAAUGUUUAAGGAAGAGUCGGUAGCAGUAAUUCCGUCGAAGGAUUUGCCUUCUACAAUGUUGCAUAAUUGUAACUUGAAAACAAAUUUGAUUACUUAAAUCCUUCUCGACUAAGAUCACCGGAGAGAUUAGAGAUUAUACAUCACCCGUCCAGUCUUACUCGGGCAUAUGCAUCCAAGAACUGUAAAGAUUAGACAGCUACAGGCCUACAAUUCUACCAAAGAGAAGGGGAGGCUAAUAUUUGGCAAAUUGUAGCUAAAAGGUGACCAAAUCCUAGCUUUAGAAGAAACUGAAGUUUGUAUAAUGUGUAUCUCGUUACAGAACUCCUUUUUACAUAGCCAUCCAAAAAAAAAAAAGGAACUGGUGGUUUAUCUGAUAUGAAGAGCAAGAAAGAUAUUGUGCAUGGGCAUCAACAAACCAUCGUAUCCAGAUAAUUUUUGACCCAAAAUGAUGUGAUUUCCUAAUUGCAUUCCAUUGAUUUUCUCUGCUCUACAAGAAGACCUGAACAAUCCUCGACCCAUUACUAGCUUGCACUUGCAGGGGCAACUUCAAAAUGUGAAAUGUGACCUACCAAGAAGUCAAGUGUGCAGGUAAAGAGCAAGUACAUCUUCUCACAUCUUACCUGGAACGGCAUCAGUUCUUCUGUGUCUUUUUAUGGAACCCCUGACUAGGAACUGCAUCAGCAUCACCCCACUCCCUGUCCCCUAAACCAGAAAGGCCGUUUAAACAAAAAGCCGCCCUCGUGUACGUACAUAUGAUCCAACACAAUAUCAGUCCCUGUUACUAUCACACUUGCGAAGGAAACCACCAAAAUAAGACUAUGUCCAAUGCCUUUCCGAAUAUAGAUUUGCUUUCCCCUACAUCAUGCUUUAAUGAGAAAGUAGAAACCUUCCUGGUUUGAUUCGCUGGCAAAUAAUUGGCCCCUCAAAGUUCAGCUCUUCCCUAGACAGUCGCAACAAAACAUAGAAGAAACUUUUUCCUUUCGCUGUAAAAGAAUGUCCAUUCAGGCAAUUAUGAGACUUUUCACUCUUGCAGUUAAAAAGAUUUCCAUGAUAAAUUUGGGAUCAUCAGUUUCAUAUAUACUGAAAUGAAAAAAACCAAGUUUACACAGUGUUAGUAAGUAGCAUUUAUUAUGCAAGAAGUGAUUCUCCAGUCCUAGAAACCACUGAGUUUAGCUCAAUAGCCACCAUGGAGGACUUAAGUCCUUCCUUGGGCUGUAGGUAAGGGUUCAAAUCUCACCUGCAGCAAAAAAAAAUCUAAGGAUAGCGCUAUAGCAUUCCAUUGAUUUAGAUGGGUCCGUAGCCCCUAACACAAGCCUCCUUAGACUCUUCUUUCCCUUAGAUUAGGAUAGAGUAGGUUAUACCCUAACACAAGCCUCCUUAGACUCUCCCUUCCCUUAGAUUAGGAUAGAGCAUGUUAUACAAUGCAUCGUUACUGGUAAAAAAAAAAAAAAAAGAUUGUCCAGUCCUGGAAGCAACUGUGGUAGUGUGUCUGGACAAGUUUAUAACUAUGUUUUAACUUAUCAGGCCAUGGCUCAGCGAGAGUUAGGCAACUGUGACUCAUUUCGUCGGACAAAGACAAAUCAGCUUACUUACUAAGCAAUUACAACAGGACGCCUUGUACCGUUAAGCAAGGCAAUCAUACCCGAAACUUCCUAACAUCCCUCCUAUGCUAUAUACGAUGCCAAAAAUUCACAAAACCGUACAAAUAAGCUACCAGCAUAUUAAUACAAGAGCAAGAACAGAAGAGAAAACGAUAUCAGGCGGAUUCAAGCAAGAAGAUGUGCCAUCAGGACGGGGGAUAUUCAUAUGCAGACUCGAGGAACUUGGAGGCGCAAAGGAGAAGGCGUGGCUUCCUGGAAUCUGGUGAGAUCGAUGACUAUAUACAAAGAACAACGAGAGCGUCUGAAUCUUCAGGACGAGCAAACGUGGCGAAGCUGCAAUGCCUAUGUUCGCCCACCCAUCAUCCAGGCUCCUUUAGGUGCAGACAGCAUCAGGCUAAAUAUGUGUGGGGGGCGAGGUUGUGCAGGAGUUUUGGAAGCUGAGUAGAAGAAAGGAUACAGUUCAGUCCGUGGAUGUUCACAUGUAACAACAUUUCUGUGGUUCACAGGAUGGAGAUUUAUAUCAUCAUGUAUACAAGUUUGCUGCCUCUGUCCAAACACUUCGCUCCUUCAAUCCCCAGGAUCCUCAACCAAAUGCUCGUUGCUGUACUUUCAAAUUAAUUAAUUGUACUGAAUUUUAGUCUCUUGAAUAAAAUUUUUUGCAUCCAGAUACGGGAGGAUACAAAGGCUUGAAAAUUAGUCCAUCAAAUAAGAUCUCAAACAACUAUCCAUACGCUGCAAUUGAGUCCACGGCUUGGAUUGCGAAUGAGUUUGCGUCUACUUUGCAGGUUCCUCAGUGUACUCAGUCAUGUGAUAAUCGUCGGACUACACGUCAGCCGCUAAUAAACCUGCGGCAAUUCGACUCAUUUCCGCCAGACAGUCAUCUUUGCUGAUCUUCCCUUAUCCUUUUACUAGUUGAAAAAGGCCGUCAUUCGUUUUCUUUUCUUUUUUUUUUUUAUAUACUUUUGUCCAGCAAAACAAUUCCCAAAAUGAAAAAAAAAAAAAAAAGUUCCCAAUGACGCACUAGACAUUAAAUACUCUGAAGUGGAGAGCGGUGAUAUGACAAUCCAGAGCAGGGGUGGGCAAAAAAAUCCGAAAAUCCGAAAACCCGAUCGACCCGCCCCGAAAAGUAGGGUAUCCGACCCUAUUUUUAUCAACGGAGCAAAUAGGGUCGGGUACCCAUAAAAUUCGGAUACGAAUACGGAUCACAAAAUCUAAAAUCCGCGGGUACCCGACCCGGGAUAUAUUUUACAAAUAUUAAAAAAUAUAGGGAUAAAUUUAUAAUAUUUUAAAGUUAUUAACCCUAAGUUCCUAACAUAUCCUCACUUCAGUCGACACUCCAGCCUUCAGUCUUCACUUCAGCGCCGCCGCAACUUCUUCACCUUCAGACUUCACUCUUCAGUCCUAGUUUUGGGCUUCUGGACCUUCAAUUUCUCAAGUCCCAAACACUCAAGUUGUACAAGUGCAACGCCAACGCCGACCUAGUCGAUCUGCAAAUCCAUAGCAAAGAAUUUUUGAAUUGUACCAUGUUGUUUAAUACAUCCGUAUAGGUUUUGUUUCUGUAGUUUCGGCAUGGAGUGCUAGAAUUUUGGUAGAGGCAUCAUCAAGGAAGUGAAUUUUGUGUUAAUCUUCGAGGUAGCGUAGUGUAAUUUUAGAGGUAAACUCUUUUCCAAAAAUAUUUCCUCAUUGCGGCAGGAAUUCUCAGCCUAAUAGCUCUUAGCUUUUCUGGACCAACAUGUCUUUGGAAGGCUGAGGUAUACAGCGUUUUGUAGGUUUACAAGAAUUGUGGUGUAUGGAGACCUUCAGAAGAAGUACAGUAGCAUAGCUUUGUCUGGAUAAAGAUUUUUCAGAAGUGCCCUGUUCCUUGGAGAGUUGUUUUUUCCACCUGUGCUUGUAGUAAUUCUUUUACGGUGGAAAGUAGUUGGUGCUUGUACCUUGUUAGUCUAUGAAAUAACAUCUCAAGUCUGCACGUUCCCCCUCCUUUUUUUUUUUUGGCUUUUCUUAUGCUUCAAUGAAAUUGAAAUUCCUUUUCAGUGUGCUAAGAAAUCCUCGCGUGUGUGUGUGUGUGUGUGUGUUCGGCUACUUCAGCAGAGGACUUCCAUUAACCUCAAUUCUGGCAACUAAGGUAUUUGGUUUUGCCAGAAAGAAGACCGUAGUAGCAGCCAGGUUCAUCUUCUAAGAUGAAAUUGCAAAUUUCUUUGUUUUGCUAUUGUCUUUGUCUUUGCAUUCAUACAGGAAUUCGCAUUCUUUAAUAGGGGCGGGUACCCUAUGACCCGCCCCUAUUUUUCGGGUAUCCGAAGAUCGGGUACCCGAGGGCAAGCGGAGCGGAUUAGGGUCAAAAAAAUAGUGACCCGAUAUGUUAGGGUCGGGUCAGUCAUUUGACGUUCGGGGCGAAUACCCGACCCGUGCCCACCCCUAAUCCAGAGUGAUCUCCUUAAAUGCUAAUUCUUUAGGUAAAAUUAGGAAACAAGAAUUUAAUGGAGGUGUCAAGCAAAGAGUUUAUUUGGACGGUAAAAAAAAAAAAAAAAACUUUUCAAUUGCAUCGUAAACAACCAUUCAACUUUGGCUUAGUGACCACAAAAAACAGGACUAAAAAAUUUCUAUUUGAACUGUAGGUAGGUGAGGGAUUAAAUUCUACUUGCAAUAAAAAAAAAUUUAAAAGAAGUGUCAAAGCACCCCUUUAGUCUACUAGCUCCCUAGCUUAAGAUAGAUUACGUUAUAAAAAUAUUUUUUUUCUCUUUAAAUUAGGAAAGAUUACGUUACAAGAAUGUUAUUAGAGCACCCUUUUGGUCUACUAACUCCCCAGAUUCUGAUAGAUUAGAUUAUAAUAAUGUUAUCACCUUUAAAUUAUGAUAGAUUAGAUUAUAAAAAUGUCAUCGUUACUGUAAAAAAAAUUGCGUCUUUUUCAAUCAGCUUUCAUGUUCAAACAAACCCAAUACAGUGAUUGGCUUGUAAGCAAAUGGACGAAAAUGCGGAAGCCAAAUGAGCGAUACGGUUGACGUUAAAUCAUCUCACCUUAUCCUCUCAAGGACCAGUAAGUAUUUGGCGCAUUUUCCCCCAAGGAGGAAAAAAGGAAAACGAGAAAGAAAAAGGUGGGUAUCAAAUGACUAGGAUAUUACGACAUCUCUAUCGGGCAUGAUCUGAGCAUGUACCUAAUUCAAUUGAACUUUAUCCAAUGGAUUAUGACAUCGAAAGAGAUACACAGACAGGCAUCAAUUAAUUACCACAUCCACUCCAAUCGCUUAAGAAACUCGAACCAACCCUGUGGGAUAUCUUUGAAUCAUUAACAUAACAUGGCCAGGGGGAAAAACGUAGAGAUGAAUUAAAAAGUUCCCAGACCUACCGUUACCCUUACCCACCUGAUGGAAGUGGAACCACUCGCUCAAUUCAUUUAUCAAUAAAAAUAGAAUAUUGCCAAGUGAAUUUUAGGUCCAAUAGUUAUUAUUUAUUUGUACCGGCUGCCAUGCCAUCAUUAUCGUUAUCCUGAUCCUGCUCUAGAAAUUUUUUUUUUUUUUUAAUUUUUACCCCGUUGGCCUUUUUCACGGCGCAUUAAUCUCAUCGUUUAGAAGGGGAGCUGGUUAAGUGCUGGAUGGUGGCAUCCAUAUUAUGUGAUGAUGAUAAUACUUACUAGUAGUCUUCUGUGUAUUGAUAAAAAGGUUAUCCUCCUGGAGAUAAUUCUCGUACUAAAGAUAGAAAAGGAGGCAAUUCCAACUUGUAAAGAGGUUUCUUCGUCGAUGGCUCCUUUGCGUUAGAAUUUUCCGUUUUAAAAUAAUCAUCAAAAGUUAGAUGGAAACGAGAAAGACAACUAAUGCAAUUAUGGGUGUGCGAUGACAGCUAAAUAAUGAAAUUUCUCUUCAGCCGAAGCCGAAGGAAGCCGCUUGUCGUCGAGUUAUGGGGGGAGGCACAGCGGAGAGGAUCUGAAUCCAUCGAGGUUAAUAGUAACAUAAAGGACAAAAUCCAAUCCAUCGUGCUUUACACAACCAAACUGGCAGGUGGAUCCCAAGUGCGUGCAUCUAGUACUCUACCUUUAACAUCUGACUCCACGGAGAUUGCAGUCAUGCAGAAAUCCAGGAUCCAUAUUAAAACUGAUUGUGCUAUAUAAUAACCAUGCCUGAGAUUGCGAAAAAUAUAAACUGAAACGAGGAUGUAAAAAGGCAGCCAGGGUAAUAUUUGCCGGUUGAUCAACAAUCUUAGACGUAAGAAUAUACAAGAAAAGUCAUACACACACACACACACACACAUAUAUAUAUAUAUAUAUAUAUGCUGGCUGGCUCCAUGAAAAAGCAGCAGUUAUAUAAUAUUGCCCCUUUUUUUCAUGAAAUUGCCAAGAAGUUUAUGCAAAAACAGAGGCAUCAUCACACAAGGAGGCAAUUAAUUGAUUGAGGACUUAAUACUAGUACAAGGGCUCCCUGAUCAUGUGGAUUCAACCGAUUUGGGAGAAAGAGAAGGGCUGUUGUUAUGGACAGGCAUGGACUUUGAUCUCUUGAAAUAGGCAGUAGAAUUGGAGCGGUGAAACCUGCACCUGAACGAUCCCUGAUGAGUCGUGGGCGAGCAGAGACACUGCUGCUGCUGCUGCUGCUGCUGCCCUUUUGGAGACGAAGAAUUCUGGCCGUUGGCACUCUUGGGGGAUGUUGUGGUUUCCACCGUAAUGCCACCGCCAGCUGGGCCGCGGGGGUGGUGGGAGGAGGCCAUUUAAUUACUACCAGAGAGAGAGAGAGAAUGGAAGAAAACCAUAUGAUAUGGCAAGAGAGUCUUGUUGUGGUGCAUAUGAUAU